rnacentral:lncRNA from 1 species
ACAUCACGUGUCUUCUCGGCUGGAGGAAGUGACUCAGGCUGGAUAUGGCUUCUGAGGUGACCUGGACUCAGAUGGACCUCUUCCCGAGCUCCCAGGUCAAAGUGUUGUGUUUAGGGGAGGGACAAAAAGCAUCUGGGGCAGGGCUAGGUGGUUCAUGUUAAAAUCUUUUUGGAGUUGUGUAGCUCGCUCUCCACAAUACUGCUUUGAAGGCAGUCAGGAUUAUUUCACUUCCAUUUCUUCUUGCAAAGUCAAAAUGACAGGUGUGUGACUUGGAGGGGAGAGGCGGCUUGUCCUACAUCCAACCAGCAGUGACCCAAAUUCCUGCCCAGCUCUCUGCCUGCCAGGCUGUGGUCAGCUUCCUGUAGCCUCCUUCUUCACGUUGUCCAAAUUCAUAUCCCCUCUGAAUUUGGUGUGUACCCAUUGUGUCUGGUGUGAAAAUGCCACACACAGAAACCUCUCCCAGCACCUGGGAGAGAGCCUGACAAGGGCUUCACCAAUUUCUUGGUUUUCAUGCAUUUUCAGGAGCAUUGUUAUCAGAGCUCCAAGCGGAGUGGGAAAGUCUCUCACACAAGAGCAAAUUGAAAUUCAACAAAAUUAAAUAACUUGCCCAAGGCCAUGCAGCUCUUUGCCCAGUCAUUGUGAGUCAUAAUUAACCGUCUGGAUCCCAGAUAGAAAGAAAUCGCCGACCAACAACGUGACAGUGGGAAAUUAACCAUCUAGAGAGCCUUCACCCAGUAGCUGACGGAAGCAGAAGCAGACACCCAUAGCUAAGCACUGAGAUGAACUCCUGGAAUCCAGUUGGAGAAAGGCAGCAGUGAUGAGCAAAGGGGUCAAGACCAGGCUGGAGAAACCCACAGAAACAGCUGACAUGAACAAGGGGGAGCUCAUGGUCCCCAGAAUGAUAGCUAGGAAACCAGCAUAGGACUGAUCCAGACCCCCCUGAACAUAUCAUACAUGCCCCAAAUGUGGGGAGUGGCCCCUUCAGAAAGCAAAAUGUCUACCAAAAAUUCCUAAAGCGGGUGUUGAGCAACUUCCAAGCCAAGAGCCUGCCUUGGUGUGAGAGCUACGAUGGACACUGUGACUGUCAACGUGACUGGGGUUAAACUCAUCAAGGCAGCACACUUCUGGGCAUGCCGAUGACUGUGUUUCCAGGAGACUUAACUGCGGAG